rnacentral:rRNA from 1 species
GACGAACGCUGGCGGCGUGCUAACACAUGCAAGUCGAGCGAAGUGACUGGAGAUGAAAUUUUCGGAUGGAAUUUCCAGUCAUCUUAGCGGCGGACGGGUGAGUAACGCGUGAGAAACCUGCCUUUCACAAAGGGAUAGCCUCGGGAAACUGGGAUUAAUACCUUAUGACACUUACAUCUCGCAUGAGGAGUAAGUUAAAGCGCAAAGCGGUGAAAGAUGGUCUCGCGUCCUAUUAGCUAGUUGGUGAGGUAACGGCCCACCAAGGCGACGAUAGGUAGCCGGCCUGAGAGGGUGAACGGCCACACUGGAACUGAGACACGGUCCAGACUCCUACGGGAGGCAGCAGUGGGGAAUAUUGCACAAUGGAGGAAACUCUGAUGCAGCGACGCCGCGUGAAUGAUGAAGGCCUUCGGGUCGUAAAAUUCUGUCCUUGGGGAAGAUAAUGACGGUACCCAAGGAGGAAGCCCCGGCUAACUACGUGCCAGCAGCCGCGGUAAUACGUAGGGGGCGAGCGUUGUCCGGAAUUAUUGGGCGUAAAGGGUUCGCAGGCGGUCUGAUAAGUCAGAUGUGAAAGGCUAUGGCUUAACCAUGGUAAGCAUUUGAAACUGUCAGACUUGAGUUAAGGAGAGGAAAGUGGAAUUCCUAGUGUAGCGGUGAAAUGCGUAGAUAUUAGGAGGAACACCAGUGGCGAAGGCGACUUUCUGGACUUAUACUGACGCUGAGGAACGAAAGCGUGGGGAGCAAACA